rnacentral:tRNA from 1 species
CCGACCUUAGCUCAGUUGGUAGAGCGGAGGACUGUAGUGGGACACUUCCUAAAGACAUCCUUAGGUCGCUGGUUCGAAUCCGGCAGGUCGGA